ACGGGUGAGUAACGCGUGGGUAACCUGCCUUAUACAGGGGGAUAACAGUUGGAAACGACUGCUAAUACCGCAUAAGCGCACAGUGCUGCAUGGCACCGUGUGAAAAGAUUUAUCGGUAUAAGAUGGACCCGCGUCUGAUUAGCUAGUUGGUGAGGUAAUGGCUCACCAAGGCGACGAUCAGUAGCCGGCUUGAGAGAGUGAACGGCCACAUUGGGACUGAGACACGGCCCAAACUCCUACGGGAGGCAGCAGUGGGGAAUAUUGCACAAUGGGGGAAACCCUGAUGCAGCGACGCCGCGUGAGUGAAGAAGUAUUUCGGUAUGUAAAGCUCUAUCAGCAGGGACGAAGAAAUGACGGUACCUGACUAAGAAGCCCCGGCUAACUACGUGCCAGCAGCCGCGGUAAUACGUAGGGGGCAAGCGUUAUCCGGAUUUACUGGGUGUAAAGGGAGCGUAGACGGUGAUGUAAGUCAGAUGUGAAAGCCCAGGGCUCAACCCUGGGACUGCAUUUGAAACUAUGUGACUAGAGUGCAGGAGAGGUAAGUGGAAUCCCUAGU
rnacentral:rRNA from 1 species